rnacentral:misc_RNA from 1 species
CUAAAGAGUUAUUCUGGUUGAAGAUUUUAUUCAUCGUCUUUGUAAGGGUACUCUUCAGGGACUUGCUUCAGCAAUUUUACUUGUAAUUCGAAGCUGUCGUCUCCUCUCAGCAUGUCGCGUAGCCAUGUUACUUCUGUUUUCAUUGACACCAUCUCAAGUGCUCCUCUAAUUACUCCACUUAAGAUGUUGCAGUAAUGGAGACCUUGACAAGUAUCAGGAAGCUCAACAAAGUCCACUAGUGGAUUGUCCUCCAGAACAAUGCUGCAGCAUGUGCCUUCAGCAUCCCAGUUGGUCACCGUUGCAUUCACUCCCAGAAACAUUUUUAAGCCAACCUUUGCAAUCACAUCAGCUGUCUCCUUGAAGUCCACACAUCUAGAGAUAUUAGAUUUUGCUAGAAACUCAUCAAUUAGCCUGAUUCCAAUAUUAUAACCCAUCUGAUCGAGCUGUUUGUUAACCUCCUCAACCUCCUCCAGAUCUGUAAGCAAUUGACGGACAGUCGCUCCAUAAGUCAACGUAAACAGCUCCGCAUUCACUCGCUCAACACUAGCGAAGAUCGCAUCACCAGAUCGAGGACCAGCGGGAGGCAUGAUGGAUCUGAAUUCUGAACUGAGCACAAAGGAAAGUUUUCGCCGACGCUGCGGUGGUUGCCGAGUUCCGGCGAUCGAAAUUCGGAAAGCGAAGAGUGUAGCCGACGCCGACGCCGACGGUUAG